rnacentral:tRNA from 1 species
AGCCCCGCAGUGGAUGCCACGUCAAAUUGCAAAUUUGAAGACGCCCCGAUUUUGGUGCCGGGGCUU